rnacentral:rRNA from 1 species
GUUGUUGCAGUUAAAAAGCUCGUAGUUGAAUUUCGGGGUUAGUAGGUUGGUCAUGCCUCUGGUAUGUACUGGUCUCACUGAUUCCUCCUUCCUUAUGAACCGUAAUGCCAUUAAUUUGGUGUUGCGGGGAAUUUGGACUGUUACUUUGAAAAAAUUAGAGUGUUUAAAGCAAGCUAACGCUUGAAUACAUUAGCAUGGAAUAAUGAAAUAGGACGUUUGAUCUUAUUUUGUUGGUUUCUAGGAUUGACGUAAUGAUUAAUAGGGAUAGUUGGGGGCAUUAGUAUUCAAUUGUCAGAGGUGAAAUUCUUGGAUUUAUUGAAGACUAACUACUACGAAAGCAUUUGCCAAGGAUGUUUUCAUUAAUCAAGAACGAAAGUUAGGGGAUCGAAGACGAUCAGAUACCGUCGUAGUCUUAACCAUAAACUAUGCCGACUAGGGAUCGGAUGAUGUUAAUUUUUUAAUGACUCAUUCGGCGCCUUACGGGAAAC